UUUGCCAAAAGGAAAGAAAAAGGAGGAACCGACAGCCAUCGGCGUUGCACUGGAAGUUGCGGGCAAGAUUGAAGAAGAGCGCCAGAAAUUAGGAAUACUCCUCCUCCCCGUCUCUCUCUGGAUUCGAAGAAAGAAGCGAAACCCUAAUCCUAAUCUUUGAUCGCGGAGGAAGAGGAGGAGAUGCUGUUCCAGGUGGGAGGGCAGGGGACGCGGCCGACCUUCUUCGAGAUGGCUGCCGCGCAACAGCUCCCUGCCAGCCUCAGGGCCGCCCUCACCUACUCCCUCGGGGUAUUUGCCUUAAGAAGACCAUUCCUUCACAAGGUGUUAGAUUACGAUGAUGAAUUCUUUGCCUUGUUGAUGAUGGUGCUUGAAGCUCACAGUUUACGAACCACAGAUGCUUCUUUCUCAGAGUCCUUAUAUGGUCUGCGAAGGAGAGCAGUGAAGAUUACCCACAAAAAGCAUUCUUCUAAUAUGGAGUCUAAUGAUAAAAUCCAGCAUUCGGGACUGGAGAAGCACCAAAAAGUUAUCUCAGUUGCAUUUCUGGUCAUUUUGCCUUAUAUAAAAUCAAAGCUUCAUUCUAUUUACAACAAAGAAAGGGAAGCAAGGCUUCAAGCAAGUCUUUGGGGCCAUGAUGAUGAUGGAUUGGAUGAGUCAAACUUUCUCCUGGAUCCAGGAGAGAGCUCUCAUUCACAAGUUGAAUCUUUGAGGAUUGAAGGAUCAAGCUUGACACACAUGAAAAAGAGAAUUAUGGCAAUUAUUGCUGCUUGCUACCCUUGGAUUCAUGCAACCAAUGAGGGAUUGUCAUUUGCUUAUCAACUAUUGUAUCUGUUGGAUGCUACUGGCUUUUAUGGUCCAGGUCUUCAUGCACUUGGGGUUCAUGUAUGUCGUGCCACAGGACAAGAACUGAUGGAUUCCUCUUCUAGAAUUUCAAGGAUCAGAAGUCGUGAACUUGAAAGACUGAGGGGCCCUCCGUGGUUGAAGGCAGUUCAGAGAGUUCUGCUUAGCUGCAUAUACACAACACUGGAUUAUGCACAAACUGGUCUAAUUGCUGCAGUAUUUUUUUUCAAGAUGAUGGAGUGGUGGUACCAAUCUGCUGAAGAAAGAAUGUCAGCACCAACCGUGUAUCCCCCACCUCCUCCUCCACCUCCCCCAAAGGUUGCUGAAGAUGGAAUUCCAUUGCCACCGGAAAGGACUUUGUGCCCGCUCUGCUCCCAGAAACGGGUCAAUCCAUCGGUUAUUGCUGUUUCUGGUUUUGUUUUCUGCUAUGCUUGCAUAUUUAAUACAAACGGUGCCCUGUCACAUUGAUGCCGGCAACAGUCGAGCAUAUCAGGAGACUCUUCCAUGAUUUAUAGUUCAAGUAACCGAAGCUUUAUAAAAUUGCAGUGAAGAUCUGAUCGGAUAUGCACCCAAAAUCCGAGAGAAAAAUUACUGUUUCUUUGCUGGACAAAUAAUGGGAGGUCCUCUAGUUUGUGCCUAGCAUGGGUGCCAUCAAAAGAAUUGUAACUGUUUUUUGCCCAGUUCUGUGAUGACAAGCAGCUUCUGAUAGAAGUUCAAUUCAUUAUUUGUUCACAAGCUAUGGAAUUAUUUUCUCUAUUAAGAGAGCUUGGUGGAAAAUCUACCAUCCAUGAGGAACUUUCCUGGUUCCUUCUAGGUCGCACAGGGCUAUCUCGUGGUGUAACCCCUAAUCCAAUUUUCAAAUAGUUGAGUUGAUAGGCCUCUGUACAUCAAAGACUGUUGAUUAGAUCUGCAUCAUGAAAGAAAGUGUUGAAUGUGCAGCAUUCCUCUAUAUGUCAGAAUGGUUAAACAUGUGCCUGUUUGUAUACUUUGUUGUAUGCUGGGGAUGAUGGGGGGUAACUAAAGAUUCUAGUUAAUUGGUGGUUGAUGCAUUGCCUGUCAAUGCUGAAUGAGUUCUGAAUUGGCCAGUAGAACGAUGUUUUCUUAUUGUAUUGAUGCAAUGUAGAAAGCAUGUAUGAUGCGUUGGUGCUAAUUUUGAAAAUUAUCUAGAUGCGAUGCACCUGGGGCACUCUGAUAGAACUUGCAGCUGUAAAGAAAAAAUGUUAACUAGUUUGUAAGCAUCUGAUAAUUUUAUUGAGGGUGGAAGAUCCUUUUUUAGCACAACAUAUUAUUCGAAUCUUAGUCAUGCAAGACAGGUGCUAACGAUCAUUUGAACUUUCUAUAGUCGCAGUCUAAUUGUUAAAAUUAUUCUCAGAAAAAAUGUGUGAGUUGGAAGUAUGCGGAAGUAUAUCAACAGGAAAGAGAGACCGACAGCAACUCAGGAUAGUUGGUCAUCUUAUGGAAACUAGCUUUUGGGUUUGUGCUGGAUGAAGACGUGUUUCGUUAUAUUGCCAUUGGUUUGUGCGGUUGGAUAUGGGAUUGUGAGGGGAAGUAAAUUUUAGUUAGCCCAAUAAUUUCCUACGUAAUUGAUCGACCAGAAGUUCAUGUGAGAUAAAAAGGUACUGAAUGCUUGUGCGGAGAAGGGACUUUUCUCUACUGAUCGAGGCUCGGUGGUUUCCUACUUGUGGAGGCUUCUCCAAGGAUCGGCUAGUGAAAUAUGGCCAUAUAUUUUCAGAUUAAAAUAAAUCCAUGUACUGCUUCGGAAAAUUGGAUGUGUAUGAAGUUGGCUGGUCCGAAGUUACGUCCAUCAAACGCACCCAUUUAUCCAGCCAGGUGACGGAGAGUAAAUAAAUCGAUAUGUCAGUUUGUGCCGGCUGAUACGUCGGUCGGCAAGGGCCCGAUACCGAUAAAAGGAUGAUGGCCGAUAUCUCGUUCGUUUCUUAUAUUAAACCUAUUUGUUUAGCUGCGGCGCCUCCUCUUUUCUCUGGCCGGCGGACCGGAUUGCUUCUUUUUGUGCUCUCUAGAGGGGAGAGGAGGAAUCGAAGAGGGAUGGCCGCGGAAGUGGAGACGGCGGUGGAGGCGGCAGCGAGCGGUGGGGAGGGCGAGGGAGGGCAGAAGGCGCCGCAUCGGCUGGAGCGGAAGUGGACCUUCUGGUUCGACAACCAGUCCAAACCCAAGCAGGGCGCCGCCUGGGGCACCACCCUCCGCAAGGUCUACACCUUCGACACCGUCGAGGAGUUCUGGUGCUUGUAUGAUCAGAUAUUUCGUCCCAGCAAGUUGCCAGGAAAUGCUGAUUUUCACUGUUUCAAAACCGGGAUAGAACCCAAGUGGGAAGAUCCUGAAUGUGCAAAUGGGGGCAAGUGGUCUGUAACAUGUAGUAGAAAGGGCACUCUUGACAACAUGUGGUUAGAAACGUUGAUGGCUUUAAUUGGAGAGCAGUUUGAUGAGAGUGAGGAAAUCUGUGGUGUUGUUGCUAGUGUGCGCCAGAGGCAGGACAAGCUUGCAUUAUGGACCAAAACAGCGACCAAUGAAGCUGUUCAGAUGAGCAUUGGGAAGAAAUGGAAGGAAAUCAUUGACUACAAUGAUAAAAUUGUAUACAGCUUCCACGAUGACUCGAGAAGAGAAAAAUCAAGCAGAGGUGGUCGGUACAGUGUGUGAUUACUGCAGAUGACCUAUCAACAACUGAAAUCUUGGGUGGUUCUCUGCCAGUAUUUUGUGAGUUACGCAAGUACUUGCACUCCUUCGAGAGAGGUGUUUGAACCCUACUGAAAACCUCGUCUGUAUCCGGAUAUUAUAUGUUCUGUGAAUACCAAAGAAAAGUCAGCUGCAACUUUAUGAUA